rnacentral:rRNA from 1 species
AUUGAACGCUGGCGGCAGGCCUAACACAUGCAAGUCGAAUGGUAACAGGAAACAUCUUGCUGUUUCGCUGACGAGUGGCGGACGGGUGAGUAAUGUCUGGGAAACUGCCUGAUGGAGGGGGAUAACUACUGGAAACGGUAGCUAAUACCGCAUAACGUCGCAAGCCCAAAGAGGGGGACAUUCGGGCCUCUUGCCAUCAGAUGUGCCCAGAUGGGAUUAGCUAGUAGGUGGGGUAACGGCUCACCUAGGCGACGAUCCCUAGCUGGUCUGAGAGGAUGACCAGCGACACUGGAACUGAGACACGGUCCAGACUCCUACGGGAGGCAGCAGUGGGGAAUAUUGCACAAUGGGCGCAAGCCUGAUGCAGCCAUGCCGCGUGUAUGAAGAAGGCCUUCGGGUUGUAAAGUACUUUCAGCGGGGAGGAAGGGAGUAAAGUUAAUACCUUGGCUCAUUGACGUUACCCGCAGAAGAAGCACCGGCUAACUCCGUG